CACGCAGUAGCCGAUAUAGGGUUUCUUGCGAUCUGGAUCUGGCCCUCAACCUGCCCGUCCUUGAUAGGCAAAUCGCAGGUGAUCUGGAUUUUUUCCCCUCACAUGUCUUCGAGUGUUUUUGUUUUUAUGUAGAGAUCUUGGUGAAGGCCUUUUUCACGAUCCAAGCGGUUCUCUGCGGUGUGGUUCUUCGCUGCUUUGCGGAUUAAAAGAUGGUUAUGGCUUCCGAUCAGUUUCUUGCGGCUGUUCCACCGAUUGGUUCGUUCUGUUCUUGCUGCCGAGGAAGCAUUGCAGGCGCGGAAGCAGAUCUUCGGCUUGAAGUUCGGAUCGACGGGCGUCUUCGAUCCACUAACUCCAGUUGCCAGGAAAAUAGACGUUGUUUGCCUGAAUGAUUAAGUUCUUGCUCAGAACUUGUCAGUUGUAAAGGAGUGGAUGCCUCUUGGGGAUCAGAACAAGACGGAUGGGCUGGGUUCUUGAUGAUAGACUGGGAAGGUAAUAUGCAUUUGAACAUGUUGCAUCGACCUUUGCCAUGUUGGGUGCGCUCGCAUGGCAGGUCACCCCUGCUUAAUAAAAAGUAAUAUUUUUUGGGUGUUGGCGGGGAGAUCGCACGGGGCAUUUGAUUUUAUUCCCCGGGUUCUCCAUCGCCUGUGUGUGUGUGUGUCUGCCUCUACCUCUUUGAAUUUCAUUUUCCCUAUCGUCCCAUCUCGCUAUCAGUUAAAUGUGGUUUCAUGGCGAUAUCAGCAAUAUCCCGAUUCAACCGCUGCAUAUUCAAUUGUCCAUCGCCUACGCAUCCAUUCCAAGUGGUGAAAUCAUGGGGUCCCCAUCAAUUUGAACCAUCUUUCUGAAAUGAUAAGGUACAAUUCUUAUAAAGACUCAGUAGCUCAGUUUGGUAUUUGCUUAACAUGAUUAGUGGAUUUAGUGAUAUGAGACAGACGUAUACAUGUUAAUUUCGCCCCAAUCUGACUGUAGAGGAGCAAGUUUUUUGAUAAAAAGCAACGUGAGUGAAAGAAGAAUAGAAUUCUAUGAAUCUAUAUUUGGUUUAGGGUGCAUUGGAUAGAAUGGAAUGAAAUGGUUCAUUUACUCUGAUUUAUUCAUUAUUCCACUACAUUCAAGUAUAUCACAAUGUCAAGUUAUCAUUUCAAAACUAAAUGUAGAUAAAUUAUAUGAGUGACUUGGACUGAUUUGACCAUUGAUAUUGGGUCAAUCCUAUCUAGUAAGACAAUCUGGCUGGCUAAUUCAAUUGAGUGAGCUUGGUGGUCAGUUCCUUGGAUUCGACAUGUUUGUUGGUUUGAUCUGAUGGAUCAACCAAGCUUGGCAUGCCAGAAAGACAAGUAACUCAGGCACAUUGAACUUAUCAAAACCAAGUAAUAUUGAUUAUGCAUGAUUAAAACCAAAUAAUGAAUAUAAAUUGAUUAUACCUCUUAAUUUCAUUUCGUUCCUUUAGUUUUAUUCUAAUUAUAUUUCAUUUAAUUAUACUCUAUUAAAUUUACUCAUUACUUGGGUACAUACAUUACAAUUUUGGUUCAUUAUUUUGCAGAUUGAUUCAUUUAAGAACUAAAGAUUAUCAAAUUUGCAUACUUUUUUUUUUGAACGCACAUAUCACUGGUAUUGAUAGAUGUGGUUCCUCUUCGUAAUCCACGGUGUGCGACUUAAUCAUUGUAAAUUGUUUAUCAAAUACAGUAAAUUGCAAAGUUUUUAUGGUCACUAAUAAUUGAUAGCAAAUGGUGUUAUAACUAGCUUGAAAUGUUUAAUAUGGAUCAUUAUCUUAAGAAGUAAUUUUUCAAAUGGCAAUCAAGUUUUUGUUUCUUAAAAAUAAAUUUUUGUAGUUAAUAUCCCUCCAUUACUGCCAUAUCAUCAUAUACAGUCGGUAAAACUUAACCAAGGCUAAAUAUGUUGAAACAAUUACGUUUAUGGGUUCAAAUAUAUUCUCAAGUUCAUGAUUGAUGUUGUGAUUGUUGAAAAUUUUACUGUCAUAUCUUCUGUACAUUUCUACAUUUUUCUGUGUGCUGUUUCCCAUUUAAUCCUGUAGAACAGUUGUAAAUUCGGGUCUGGUUCGGUGAUGGGUUUGUUGGGAAAAAUAUGUAAACAUAAUUGGGGUAAUUGUGAAUGUAAAAUCAUGUAGUAGAAAAGCCUCUUAUGCUCUACUCAUUACAUGGCUUACAACAGUCUUGAGAGUUCCUGACUACGGGGGUAAAGAUUUUGCAGCUGAAGCUCUAUAGAAGUUUGUCGAUUGUAUUCAAUUUUAAACAUGCUGCUGCCUAAGAUUGUCUGUAGCUCUGUCAAUUGAACUCGGGGCGCAUGUAAAAUAUCUGGAAAAGACUUGGAAGCAUCUCGCCCUGCAUUUUGGUGGAAUCAAUUCUCGGUUCAAGAUUCGGACUACUUUUGCUUGGAUUUGUUGGUACCUGAAGCUUAAAAUUUCGUUGCCACAUCUGUCCGAAAUUGAGAUACAUUCAUGGAGCAAAAAUUUGGGCGUAUUAUGACUAUUGUUUUGAGCACUCUUAUGUGAAGUCAAGUUCUGAAGACUCCUGUAAGAACAAACUUGAAUUUGUAAGCCUUUUUUUGGAUUCACUUCUAGAUUUCUAUUUGGCAGAAGUCAAAUUCAUCAAACGCUUACAAGUUUUUGUGAUUGCAACUUUAACUAUAUCCUUACCCGAUGACUUCGAGAACCAUUUUAAAUUGCUGAUUAUGCACCC